GGGGCCCUAGCCACCACAUCCUCUUCUCUCGUGUCGCCUACAGGCUCUCUCCUUCACUCACAAACUCCAGGACGGUGCCGGGGGCAGGGUCUGGGCCAUGUCCCCCCGUCCCACCACCCUCCUGGGCCUGGUGCUCUGUCUGGGUCACACGAUGCACACACAGGCGGGCCAUCUUCCCACUCAGCUCCAGACCUCCGCACCACCCUGAAUGCCCGGUGUCCCCUGUCCCUCGGCCUGGGGAAUUCAUCCCUGACUUCAGAUCUUGGCUCAGAUAUCUCUUCCCUCGGACCUCCCAGAGGACAGCAGCUCUGCCUCCUGUCUGCCCCCGAGAUUCCCACACUCACCCCGAGGGCAUGUAUCACCGUUUGUACCCGUGGAUUUGCACAAUUAUUUGUCAAUGGCUAUCCUCUCUCUAGACUUUCAGCCCCAAGAGGGCAGGCAUCCUGGGUGUUUCUCAUAUUUGUGGAACCAGUGGUACAUGGAGGCAUCAGUAAACAGAUAGAUGAGAGCUAAGGUGUGGUCAAAAGAAAGAAAGAGCGAACGAGUGACCUCUGCCAGCCCCCUGCCUCUAUGGGAUUUUGCUGAAUGAGAGGCCAGCUUCCUGUUUCAGGGCUACAAACCCGCUCUUCCCCCUGCCCCCAGCCCAGUUGAGACAUCUGGGGUUUCCAGAGCCUCAGUAAUAAGGAAAUGGGAAUGAGCUGAGACGAAGGUAAAAAUACAGAGAAAACCCAGGGAUGAAAGCACAGAAGACUCGCAUUGGACACAGAGAUCCUCGCCUGCUGGGGAAUGUGGGAUCAGAUCUGUGCUCC